rnacentral:sRNA from 1 species
UUUUCCGGCCCACAAGGCCACAACCACAGACCAACGCACAGGACAUCGAUCAUGACCGCAUACCGCUACCGCACUGGCUACCCGCUCAACACCUGGCGAUUUAGCGACGGCCGCCAGCCGCUCGCCAACCCACGACAUUGCCGAACACCUCGAUAGGGCACGACGCGCGCGGGACGCCCGCCGCCAGCCCAGGAAGCCAGA